rnacentral:rRNA from 1 species
UACGUAGGGGGCAAGCGUUGUCCGGAUUUAUUGGGCGUAAAGAGCGUGUAGGCGGCCAGGUAGGUCAGCUGUGAAAACUCGAGGCUCAACCUCGAGACGUCGGUUGAAACCACCUGGCUAGAGUCCGGAAGAGGAGAGUGGAAUUCCUGGUGUAGCGGUGAAAAGCGCAGAUAUCAGGAAGAACACCCGUGGCGAAGGCGGCUCUCUGGGACGGUACUGACGCUGAGACGCGAAAGCGUGGGGAGCAAACAGG